UCUCCCUGCCUCCUACUCUUCGUAGCCGCCGCCCACGUACGAACUCGUUUGUUGCCGCCGCUGCCGUCCGAGGGGAGACGCCGUCGCUGCGUCUCCAGGACGGGGCGGCUUGAAUCCCUGUCGCCGGGAUCGCCCCGCCGAACUCCGGGCCAUGGCGAGAUCCAGCAGGCCAUGGCGGCGACCAGCGCCGGGACAGGUCCAGGAUGCCGCCGGCGUCUCCGUGAUCCGUGACCCCGACGCCAUGGAGCUGCUCGUCAAGGCACGCAGGCACGCGCGGGUCCAGCGGCAGGAAGGGCAGAGAGGAGGACCGAGCUCGCCGGUGCGCGUGACCAAGGGAUGUAGCUGCCCGGAACUACUUCGCCCUCGACGAAGAGGAGACCGCGCGCCAGAGCUCCUGGUCUCCCAGGGCCGCCGAGCGCAAGGAGCUAUUGCCAUGGCACCUCCUCGCUCGCCCUCGGUGCGGCGGCCGUGUAUAUGGAAUUGUGCCCUGGUGGGGGCUCCGAGGGAGGAAACCGAAGAGCACAAGGCGCUAUUGCCAUAGCGUCCGGAGGGAGGCAUGACGCGCAUGGCUACAGGGAAUCCGCCGACGACAUAUGUGGCUUCUCCUACGCCUGAUGUUGCUGUCAUUGCAGCGGCGGCAGCGGAUCUGAGUCCCACCCGUUGGGAUCGAACGACAGAUGGCGUGAGGCAGCUGGAUGCGAGUCCCACUUCCAACCCGAGGGCUCGACCUUCUCGAUUCCUGGCUGCGGCGGGUGCGGAACUCCGAAGUGACGGUGAACUCGCUGGCGCCGCACUGCCCCCACACAAGCGCCAUCAGGUCUGCAAGCUCUGGUCGCUUGUCUUGAUAUCAGCCAUGUAAUCAUAUCUCACUUCAUUGUGCAAUCUUGUUUCUGAUUCUUGGAGCUUGGACAUCUGAAAUUCUUUGUUUGGAAGCAUAUUUUUUCAGAUUGUUUCAUCUUAGUUUAUUGAUAACAAAAUUGUUACCUUUCUUAAUCUUUGGUUGGACCAACUAAUUCACAAGCUUUUAGGUCAGAAUUUUCACGAGUAUACUCACUUAGGCUAUAGUUUUUCCUUUUGUUUUCUUUUAACUCCCAGAAAAACAACAGCGUGCAUUGCAUCAUAUUAACCACUUGAUAUUACAGUGAUCAAUAUAUAGGAAUUUCAACGCAAGAAACAACUAAUAAGGUUGCUGAAAGGGUUAGGAUUUGAACUUAAGGUUUUUUCUUGCUUAGCAGUUCAGUUUAUUGAAUUAAAUAGUUGCAUAUCUCUUCUAUUAUAAUUGGAUUUUUGCAAAGAUCUUUUCAGACGAAGAGAUCACGGGCUUAUUGGCUUAAGCAAAUGAUCAAAUCCUUGGGCACUGAUAAAAAUUACUGAUGUGUGUGUGUGUGUGUGUGUGUGUGUGUGUGUGUGUGUGUGUGUGGUGGCAGCUGGCAUGUGAGUUUGCACUGACACAUCUAAAUAUGUUUUCUUAACAAUUAGUGAUCAGGGCAAUACUGUUUUCUUAACAACUCGUUUGUUGUGCAUGAAUACUAAAUAUGUUUGACACAACUGAUGUUAAAUUGUUAGAGUAUUCACGCUCCCGUUGCGAUGCACGGGUGAUUACCAGAUGAGUGUGAUACAGUAUAUUUCAAUUUUUUGUGCAGUUGUAUCAGCUACGACUUGUAAGGUAUAAACUUUGGGACUGUAUAUAGAGAAAAAAAGUAUUUUUCCUGCACUACACACUUAAAUCAUUAUAUUGCUAAUGCAAGUGAAAAAUCAACAUUUCUUAUUGAGCCAUGCUAAUGUUUCUCUUUGUUUAAUUGCGUACUCCUUUUGCUUACUUCUUUAGAAAGCACUUCGCUCUGUUGCACACAAGCAAGAGCUAUUUCUGCACCAAUCUGUCCAAAGAUAUAAAGUUUGAACCAGCCCUUAGCUUGCAUUUGGUAAGUUAAUCUUUGAGGAGAAUAUUCAUCUUACUUAGUUCGAGGUGAAAUUUUGUUUGUCGCAUCAGGAAUCAAAAAAAUAUGGUGCCUCCGUAUCUUUAUAUAAAGUCCUUACUAUAUAUAUUGCUCCUUUCCAUUGAAUUGGAUGUAACAUUGUGUACACUUAAUGUCAAGACUAAUGUCUAUCGCCAAUUUCAGUAUAGUCAAAACAUAUUGAUGGCACUGAAAAUGAUUCUGCUUUUGCAGGUCUGACCUGACUCUUCUUUGUACAUAUGUAAUUGGUUUAUUUCUUGAUAGGGUGGUACUCUCUGAAUUUCUUGAUGAGCGUUCCCGUUGCUGCACCGCAUUGUGGCCAAGUCCUCUUCUUGGCCAUGCCAGUGACAUGAGCAGGAUGGUGUAUACCGGCUUCCCAGACAUGUGUCUGUCGAGGCCGCACCGGGUUUGUGGAGGUGAUGGCACGAGUAUUUACCAGGAUGCUUAGAGAUCCGUUGGCAUAUGUCCAGGUAAUGAAAUUGUUUAUGAUGUGUCUGCCGAGCGUUUGGGAAGAGAAGCAUGGUGCCAAUACAUACUUUUGGUUCUUAACCCAGAUGAUCUCAUUUAAAGUUGUUGGCGUUUGUUAUAAUCAUUCUUGAUGAGCUGCACAACGCUUCAUGUAUUGCACUAUUAAUGUCGUUUAUUUGGUGGUCAAACUCCUGUUCCACUCCUA